CCUUGCUGUGGGUGCCUAUCUUGGUGGUGUAGCACAUGUGAGAUGUGAGCCACAUUUGCUACGGCCACCAAGAUCUGUGCCAGCAGUAUAC
rnacentral:pre_miRNA from 1 species